AAGUAUGCAUUUAACGUUAAGAUUGCAUGCAAGUAUCUGCAGAAGCUGGGUCUAAUGAAUUCAGAGAAGUAGCAGGCUUUUGAAACUUACACUGAAGAGAGGAAAAACAGAAAAGAAUAAAGUGUUCUGAGGAGGAGAACUUAAGAUGUGCAGAUGUACAAUUACUUGCCUCAAGUCCCACUGGAGCUGAGGUACGAACCACGAUCUCCCGAGAUUCUGAUGUAGCAUCUGGACCGUAAACCUGUAAGGAGCAGUCACAGUGUCUCCUCUCCCCAAGUCUUAGUACUCCAGAUAUUCUGAU
rnacentral:lncRNA from 1 species